rnacentral:misc_RNA from 1 species
GGGACGGCUAACCAGUGCCCAACCAUCGAUGGAGGUGUUGACAAAUUCACCUUCAAGCCUGGCAAAUACAACAUGAAGAAAUUCUGCUUGGAACCCACAUCGUUCACUGUCAAGGCCGAGAGUGUGAGCAAGAACGCCCCGUCAGAGUUCCAAAACACCAAGCUCAUGACCCGCUUAACCUACACCCUGGAUGAGAUCGAG